rnacentral:lncRNA from 1 species
AAAUAUUAUUUCUAGUUUAUCCUGCAUAAUGACGAUCAUUAAGACGCUUGGUGAACGUUUAUAGUGCAGGGAUAUAGGCGAUUCUCUCUAUCUGGUAAAUGACGUCAUAAAGGCGCGCAUAAUUGCCGAGUUUUUUUCCGGUGACGGACAAACUCGAAAGUGGUCUAUUAAAUUGACACCGCUAUUUCAAUCGCUAUUAAUCAUUCAUUAUAGUUGUGUGAAGUUUACAAGUCUAUCAAGGAAAAUGUAGAGGUUCAUCAUCAUGUGUUAUGUCAUUACCGUAGGAGAGAUGUGAUGGAUUUGUGAUUUUAAAAACUCCAUAUUUUGAGAAUGAUACUUAUGUGAUAGAUAUAUGUGGGAUUCAAAGUUUUGUAGUGCAUUCCGAUUCUUUAAUGAGACAUAUAAAAUCAAUAUUGUUUAAGAUGCGUUGUGUGCUGGAACAACACUAUAGUUGUCGUGAAGAUGAAGAUGAAGCAUUCACAUUCUCUGGCAUUUUUAAAGGAUAAGAAAUCU